rnacentral:rRNA from 1 species
UACGGAGGGUGCAAGCGUUAUCCGGAUUCACUGGGUUUAAAGGGUGCGUAGGCGGGUAGAUAAGUCAGUGGUGAAAUCUCCGAGCUUAACUCGGAAACUGCCAUCGAUACUAUUUAUCUUGAAUAUUGUGGAGGUAAGCGGAAUAUGUCAUGUAGCGGUGAAAUGCUUAGAUAUGACAUAGAACACCAAUUGCGAAGGCAGCUUACUACACAAUGAUUGACGCUGAGGCACGAAAGCGUGGGGAUCAAACAGG